UAGGGAAUAUUGGACAAUGGGGGCAACCCUGAUCCAGCCAUGCCGCGUGAGUGAAGAAGGCCCUCGGGUUGUAAAGCUCUUUUGUCCGGAAAGAAAAGCAUUCGGUGAAUACCCGGAUGUUCUGACGGUACCGGAAGAAUAAGCACCGGCUAACUUCGUGCCAGCAGCCGCGGUAAUACGAAGGGUGCAAGCGUUACUCGGAAUUACUGGGCGUAAAGCGUGCGUAGGUGGUUGUUUAAGUCUGAUGUGAAAGCCCUGGGCUCAACCUGGGAAUGGCAUUGGAAACUGGGCAGCUAGAGUGCGGUAGAGGGCAGUGGAAUUCCCGGUGUAGCAGUGAAAUGCGUAGAGAUCGGGAGGAACAUCUGUGGCGAAGGCGACUGCCUGGACCAGCACUGACACUGAGGCACGAAAGCGUGGGGAGCAAACA
rnacentral:rRNA from 1 species